CGCUAGCGGCAGGCCUAAUACAUGCAAGUCGGACGGGAUUCAACAGCUUGCUGUUGAUGAGAGUGGCGCACGGGUGCGUAACGCGUGAGCAACCUGCCCAUUUCAGGGGGAUAGCCCGGAGAAAUCCGGAUUAAGACCGCAUAUGAUCACGUUACCGCAUGGUAGAGUGAUGAAAUAUUCAUAGGAAAUGGAUGGGCUCGCGUGACAUUAGCUAGUUGGUAGGGUAACGGCCUACCAAGGCGACGAUGUCUAGGGGCUCUGAGAGGAGAAUCCCCCACACUGGUACUGAGACACGGACCAGACUCCUACGGGAGGCAGCAGUAAGGAAUAUUGGUCAAUGGGGGGAACCCUGAACCAGCCAUGCCGCGUGCAGGAAGACGGCCCUACGGGUUGUAAACUGCUUUUGCACGGGAAUAACCCUCAUUAUGUAUAAUGAGCUGAAUGUACCGUGAGAAUAAGGAUCGGCUAACUCCGUGCCAGCAGCCGCGGUAAUACGGAGGAUCCGAGCGUUAUCCGGAAUUAUUGGGUUUAAAGGGUGCGCAGGCGGGGAUCUAAGUCAGGGGUGAAAGACGGUGGCUCAACCAUCGCAGUGCCUUUGAUACUGGAUUCCUUGAAUAUACCUGAGGUAGGCGGAAUGUGGCAAGUAGCGGUGAAAUGCAUAGAUAUGCCACAGAACACCGAUUGCGAAGGCAGCUUACCAAAGUAUGAUUGACGCUGAGGCACGAAAGCGUGGGGAUCGAACAGGAUUAGAUACCCUGGUAGUCCACGCCCUAAACGAUGAACACUCGAUGUCGGCGAUAGACAGUCGGCGUCCAAGCGAAAGCGUUAAGUGUUCCACCUGGGGAGUACGCCCGCAAGGGUGAAACUCAAAGGAAUUGACGGGGGCCCGCACAAGCGGAGGAGCAUGUGGUUUAAUUCGAUGAUACGCGAGGAACCUUACCCGGGCUUGAAAGUUACUGAAGAUAGCAG
rnacentral:rRNA from 1 species